GUCCCAGCUGCUCUGGACACCUCUCCCCACCCCCAGCCCCGCGCUUGGCAGAAGGCUCCAGGAGGACAGCUGGGGAGAAGGGGAGACGCUCCUGGCUUGCCUCGCACAGGGAGAGUGCUCCGUGAAAGUCCUGGGGAUGUUUGCUCUGGAUGAGAAAAGUCUUAGAACCCAAGUUCCCAGAGGGCUGAAAGUCAGAGACUCCGGCACCGAGGGUUGGAAUUCUGGGAUCUCAAGACUCCAGAAUCUCAGGACUUGAGGACGGUUCUACCAGUCUCAGGUUCUCGCCUUCACAGGAUUCUGUGAUGUGAGAGGGAAAAGAGGAGGGAGCACGUCCCACUUGGUGGGAUGCAGUUCUGCCCAUUGGGUGUCAAACUAGCCCACAGCCCAGAGGAGUAAAAAGCAGCCCCACCCUGUGGCCCCUCAGGUUGGUCUGAGGGUCCCAGGAGGCACAGGCAGGAGCGCGUUGGAAAACGGCGUUGCCAGCGCUGUGGACAUAAAGCAGGACCUACUGGUGCUGAUGUUUCCGGGGCUGUGAAAUGGGGUGAUGCUCCCUCCUCACAGGGGUGUUGUGAAGAUGUAAUCCUGCCCAAGGAGGCACGCUGUAGACUGCAAAGUCCUGUGUGGAUGGAAGGAAGGGCCUGCAUAUACCUUGAUCCUGGC
rnacentral:lncRNA from 1 species